rnacentral:lncRNA from 1 species
GGAGUCCGACGCCACGCCCUGCGGCUGGCGGCGCGUCGAGUGCGACCCGGCCACCUCCCGUGUGCUCCGCCUCUCCCUCGACGGCCUCGCGCUCUCCGGCCCCAUGCCCCGUGGCCUCGACCGCCUCCCCGCGCUCCAGGAGCUCACCCUCGCCCGCAACAACCUCUCCGGCCCGCUCCCGCCGGGCCUCUCCCUCCUCACGUCGCUCCGCUCCCUCGACCUCUCCUACAACGCCUUCUCCGGCCCGCUCCCCGACGACGUCGCGCUGCUCGCCUCCCUCCGCUACCUCGACCUCACCGGCAACGCCUUCUCCGGCCCGCUCCCGCCCGCCUUCCCCCCGACCAUCCGCUUCCUCAUGCUCUCCUGCAACCAGUUCUCCGGCCCGAUACCGGAGGGCC